CACGAAGUUAGCCGAUCCUUUCUUGCAUGGUACAUUCAUUGUGUUAUUCCCAUACGACAGAGCUUUACGACCCGAAGGCCUUCAUCACUCACGCGGCGUCGCUGCGUCAGGGUUUCCCCCAUUGCGCAAUGUUCCCUA
rnacentral:rRNA from 1 species